rnacentral:tRNA from 1 species
GCAGUUGUGGUUCAGUGGUAGAAUUCUCACCUUCCAUGCAGGAGACCUGGGUUUGAUUCCCGGCCAAUGCC